AAAUUGAAGAGUUUGAUCAUGGCUCAGAUUGAACGCUGGCGGCAGGCCUAACACAUGCAAGUCGAACGGUAACAGGAAGCAGCUUGCUGCUUCGCUGACGAGUGGCGGACGGGUGAGUAAUGUCUGGGAAACUGCCUGAUGGAGGGGGAUAACUACUGGAAACGGUGGCUAAUACCGCAUAACGUCGCAAGACCAAAGAGGGGGACCUUCGGGCCUCUUGCCAUCAGAUGUGCCCAGAUGGGAUUAGCUAGUUGGUGAGGUAACGGCUCACCAAGGCGACGAUCCCUAGCUGGUCUGAGAGGAUGACCAGCCACACUGGAACUGAGACACGGUCCAGACUCCUACGGGAGGCAGCAGUGGGGAAUAUUGCACAAUGGGCGCAAG
rnacentral:rRNA from 2 species